rnacentral:rRNA from 1 species
UACAGAGGUCUCAAGCGUUGUUCGGAUUCAUUGGGCGUAAAGGGUGCGUAGGCGGCGCGGUAAGUCGGGUGUGAAAUCUCGGAGCUUAACUCCGAAACUGCAUUCGAUACUGCCGUGCUUGAGGACUGGAGAGGAGACUGGAAUUUACGGUGUAGUAGUGAAAUGCGUAGAGAUCGUAAGGAAGACCAGUGGCGAAGGCGGGUCUCUGGACAGUUCCUGACACUGAGGCACGAAGGCCAGGGGAGCAAACGGG